CCCGCACAAGCGGUGAGCAUGUGGUUUAAUUCGAUGCAACGCGAAGAACCUUUACCUGGUCUUGACAUCCACGGAAGUUUUCAGAGAUGAGAAUGUGCCUUCGGGAACCGUGAGACAGGUGCUGCAUGGCUGUCGUCAGCUCGUGUUGUGAAAUGUUGGGUUAAGUCCCGCAACGAGCGCAACCCUUAUCCUUUGUUGCCAGCGGUCCGGCCGGGAACUCAAAGGAGACUGCCAGUGAUAAACUGGAGGAAGGUGGGAUGACGUCAAGUCAUCAUGGCCCUUACGACCAGGGCUACACACGUGCUACAAUGGCGCAUACAAAGAGAAGCGACCUCGCGAGAGCAAGCGGACCUCAUAAAGUGCGUCGUAGUCCGGAUUGGAGUCUGCAACUCGACUCCAUGAAGUCGGAAUCGCUAGUAAUCGUGGAUCAGAAUGCCACGGUGAAUACGUUCCCGGGCCUU
rnacentral:rRNA from 1 species